GGGGAGGGUCAAUUGAACUUGGAACUUGAGUGCAGAAGACGGAGAGGUGGAAAUUUACGUGUAGCGGGUGAAAUGCGUAGAGAUGUUGGAGGGAACACCAGUGGCGAAAGGCGACUCUCUGGUCUGUAACUGACGCUGAGGAGCGAAAGCGUGGGGAGCGAACAGGAUUAGAUACCCUGGUAGUCCACGCCGUAAACGAUGAGUGCUAAGUGUUAGGGGGUUUCCGCCCCUUAGUGCUGCAGCUAACGCAUUAAGCACUCCGCCUGGGGAGUACGGUCGCAAGACUGAAACUCAAAGGAAUUGACGGGGGCCC
rnacentral:rRNA from 1 species